rnacentral:rRNA from 1 species
GAUCUCAGAUCAGGUAAGAGUA